UACGUAGGGUGCAAGCGUUAAUCGGAAUUACUGGGCGUAAAGCGUGCGCAGGCGGUUGUGCAAGACCGAUGUGAAAUCCCCCGGGCUUAACCUGGGAACUGCAUUUGUGACUGCACGGCUAGAGUGCGGCAGAGGGGGGAUGGAAUUCCGCGUGUAGCAGUGAAAAUGCGUAGAUAUGCGGGAGGAACACCGAUGGCGAAGGCAAUCCCCUGGGCCUGCACUGACGCUCAUGCACGAAAAGCGUGGGGGAGCAAAACAGG
rnacentral:rRNA from 1 species